rnacentral:ribozyme from 1 species
UGCCCAGCAACUCCUAUCCCUACCUCCUCGCGGUACCGGCCGGAAACUAUGAGCAACCUUAGAGAAGAUCGGGUAACCAACCCCGGUGGGAACUUUGGUCGUAGGCUGACAGGGAAGG